rnacentral:rRNA from 1 species
CUAUCAGCUUGUUGGUGGGGUGAUGGCCUACCAAGGCGGUGACGGGUAGCCGGCCUGAGAGGGUGGACGGUCACACUGGGACUGAGACACGGCCCAGACUCCUACGGGAGGCAGCAGUGGGGAAUAUUGCACAAUGGGCGCAAGCCUGAUGCAGCGACGCCGCGUGAGGGAUGGAGGCCUUCGGGUUGUAAACCUCUUUCGCCAGUGAAGCAGGCCUGCUCCUUGUGGGUGGGUUGACGGUAGCUGGAUAAGAAGCGCCGGCUAACUACGUGCCAGCAGCCGCGGUAAUACGUAGGGCGCGAGCGUUGUCCGGAAUUAUUGGGCGUAAAGAGCUCGUAGGCGGCUGGUCGCGUCUGUCGUGAAAUCCUCUGGCUUAACUGGGGGCUUGCGGUGGGUACGGGCCGGCUUGAGUGCGGUAGGGGAGACUGGAACUCCUGGUGUAGCGGUGGAAUGCGCAGAUAUCAGGAAGAACACCGGUGGCGAAGGCGGGUCUCUGGGCCGUUACUGACGCUGAGGAGCGAAAGCGUGGGGAGCGAACAGGAUUAGAUACCCUGGUAGUCCACGCCGUAAACGUUGGGCACUAGGUGUGGGGGGCCUUUUCCGGGUCUUCCGCGCCGUAGCUAACGCAUUAAGUGCCCCGCCUGGGGAGUACGGCCGCAAGGCUAAAACUCAAAGGAAUUGACGGGGGCCCGCACAAGCGGCGGAGCAUGCGGAUUAAUUCGAUGCAACGCGAAGAACCUUACCAAGGCUUGACAUGUGCCGGUCGGCUCCGGAGACGGGGCUUCCUCCUUGUGGGGCCGGUUCACAGGUGGUGCAUGGUUGUCGUCAGCUCGUGUCGUGAGAUGUUGGGUUAAGUCCCGCAACGAGCGCAACCCUUGUCCCGUGUUGCCAGCACGUUGUGGUGGGGACUCGCGGGAGACUGCCGGGGUCAACUCGGAGGAAGGUGGGGAUGACGUCAAAUCAUCAUGCCCCUUAUGUCUUGGGCUUCACGCAUGCUACAAUGGCCGGUACAGAGGGCUGCGAUACCGUGAGGUGGAGCGAAUCCCUUAAAGCCGGUCUCAGUUCGGAUCGGUGUCUGCAACUCGACACCGUGAAGUUGGAGUCGCUAGUAAUCGCAGAUCAGCAACGCUGCGGUGAAUACGUUCUCGGGCCUUGUACACACCGCCCGUCACGUCAUGAAAGUCGGCAA